GUACCCUACGGGAGGCAGCAGUGGGGUUUAUUGGUUUUUGGGGAAACCCUGAUGCAGCGACGCCGCGUGAAGGAAGAAGUAUUUCGGUAUGUAAACUUCUAUCAGCAGGGAAGAAAAUGACGGUACCUGACUAAGAAGCCCCGGCUAACUACGUGCCAGCAGCCGCGGUAAUACGUAGGGGGCAAGCGUUAUCCGGAUUUACUGGGUGUAAAGGGAGCGUAGGCGGUUUAGCAAGUCAGAAGUGAAAGCCCGGGGCUCAACUCCGGGACUGCUUUUGAAACUGUUGAACUAGAUUGCAGGAGAGG
rnacentral:rRNA from 1 species